AGCAGCGUGGCUCAGUGGAAAGAGCCCGGGCUUGGGAGUCAGAGGUCAUGGGUUUGAAUCCCGGCGCUGCCA
rnacentral:tRNA from 1 species